AACUUUUAGCAAUGUAUCUCUUGGCUCUCACAUUGAUGAAGAACGCAGCGAAAUGCGAUAAGUAAUGUGAAUUGCAGAAUGCAGUGAAUCAUCGAAUCUUUGAACGCACCUUGCGCUCCUUGGUAUUCCGAGGAGCAUGCCUGUUUGAGUGUCAUUAAUAUAUAUCAACCUCUCUCUUGUUGAGUGGUUUGGAUGUGGGGGGUUUGCUGGCCUGUUCAGCUCCUCUGAAAUAUAUUAGCAGAAUCAACCUGUUCAUUGGUGUGAUAACUAUCUACGCUAUUGAAUGUGAGGUGCAGUUCAGCUUUCUAACAGUCCUUGGCCAAUUUAUCAUUUAUGUGACCUCAAAUCAGGUAGGACUACCCGCUGAACUUAAGCAUAUCAAUAAGCGGAGGCU
rnacentral:misc_RNA from 1 species